rnacentral:misc_RNA from 1 species
CAUCUCCUCCACGCCUCUUCAUUUGUUGGUUYGAGCAUGUGCUCGGCCGACGUCGGGUUUCCUGUGUUGAAUACCUAUUGGGAAGGCAUUGUGUCGGCUAGAAUUGUCCCUUUCCCGCCUCGUGAYGUAGCUUCCUCGUGGGCAAUCGGCAYGGGGUGGGCCAAAUCGCWCACACCGUGUGUCGCACCGCGUUCACCCAUUAGGGUGUUCGGGUUGACGACCCAUGAUGUGAUGCUCGGUCCCUCGGAUAUGGAACAUCGUGUGGGUACGGGGUCGUUGGCCCCCAAGCACCACAAACAAGCGUUCUACGCUUCGUGCGAGCGACCGUCRGUUUGAUCUUUGGCCGUGCUUUCGUGGCUCGGUUCAAGUCGGGCUGACGUCGA